rnacentral:rRNA from 1 species
UACGUAGGGUGCAAGCGUUGUCCGGAAUUAUUGGGCGUAAAGAGCUCGUAGGCGGUCUGUCGCGUCGGCUGUGAAAUCCCGAGGCUCAACCCCGGGCCUGCAUUCGAUACGGGCAGACUAGAGUUCGGCAGGGGAGACUGGAAUUCCUGGUGUAGCGGUGAAAUGCGCAGAUAUCAGGAGGAACACCGGUGGCGAAGGCGGGUCUCUGGGCAGUAACUGACGCUGAGGAGCGAAAAGCGUGGGGAGCGAACAGG